GACCUGUGUCUGCCCAGACUUACCUCAGUGAUGGAGUGUGACCUGAGAGUUCUAAGCUGAGGGGAAACUGAGGCUGAGAGAUGUCUGCUGCAAACACGUCUCCACCCACUAUGACCUGAGUGUGCCCCCGGGGCUCACUCUCCCCUGGCCUGCAGUGAUUUUUCUCUGGGUGUGCUGGAGAGUGGAGAUGGGAAAAGCUACAGUCUCUGAACCCAACUGAAACAGGCUGCCCUGCACUCUGGACAGACCGAUCCCUGGCAGUGGCAGGUGUAUGGAUCUGCAAGUGUGUGCAUGUACCUGAGCAUCCCACGGAGUGUGUGUGGGCUUGAGAGAAGGUACCCACCUUCUGUCAGCUAUCAGCUGACUUCACUUAAACAGCAGGGGAACAGAAGAGAGGAUGGGAAUGCUGGCUGGGACAUUCACAGACACCUUCCGAUCUGACAGGGACAGGAUGUUUGGUUUAGUUCUGAAGACUGGAGAGGGUAUAAACAGGAGAGCCGGAGGCAGCUGCCGCUCCCCCUGCUGCUGCUGCUUUUGCUGUUGCUGAAUUUCUGGUUGGAGCUAUCCUGAUGACAGAGAUUGGACUUGUCACCAAGGAACGGGACACCCCUAAUGAGCAGGACGUAGUCUAAAGAGGCCCCAGCUCAGCAUGGAACUGGACCAACUCCUGACGGACUACCCAGCACUGAGUCACAGCGGCAUCGUGCUGACCCAAGGGAGCCACAGAGUCCAACUACUGAAAAUACAAGCCAGUCCCUAGAGCCACCAGGUUCGGACUUCAAUGUAUACUUUGUGGGUUCAGUUCAACUCCACCACGCUUGUACAUGUAUGACUGGCUUCUGUCCCUGGACCAUUCCCCUUCUCCUUAAGUGAGGACUCUCUAGUAUGGUAAGUGUCUCUCAUCAACCAUCAACAGGCAAGGGGCUAGGCUCCAGGUAACAUCACGAUUCUUCCAUUCUAAGAGCCUUGUGCUGAUGCAGAAGCCUGAAUGGCCAAGAGCGGGAGGAGAGCAUCCCUCUAGGGGACAGCACUGCCCUGGGCUGGG
rnacentral:lncRNA from 1 species